ACAGAAAAAUAAUUUUCAGGACACAUCAAUGAGAGGCACAAAGGGAAUUAUUAGGCAGAAGUUUAAAAAUAACACUCAAAGGAAUAGAGUGCAAGCCCUCAAGAGAGAGAGGCACCUUAUUUCCCGGAACUGGGACAUUUAUGCUUCUCUUGAGGGACUGGAAACCCCAGGAAAAGGUGGCUGAGCCCUCAUAUUACAGGUGCUGUCCCAUGUUACAAAUAUGAGCCCAGAGUUUUUUAGAUGGAUUAUGUAAGCAUUAUUUUAAUUCCCUCAAUCUGUCCCUUUAUCUUAGAAUUAGGAUUCUGAUCUUUUCCUUCUGAGUUAAGCCAAUUUAUGGACUCUCGGGAUUCCUGAGGCAUGUUGGGGGAGAUGGGUCUGGAAGGAGAGGGGCCUGAAUGUGACCAAGGGAACAUCAACACCCUGAGUGACUUCCACAGGAUCCCAGAAGUUUCUGUCUUCUUAAAAGUACAAUCUUUAGUUAUGAUUUUCCGUGUCUCCUUUCUACCUUUUAUAUUUCUUCUUUCUUGCCUCAUCCUGAGCAAUGCUGUUGUUAAAUACGCACCUCCUGUGGACCUUCCAUGCAAUACAACUGGACCAUAUGCGCUUCCGGGCACUGACUGCCCACUUAUCUGCAGAUGUGGAGGGUUACGAGGUCCAUCCUGUAAAGGCCCCACCACCCUUCACUCCAUGCUGAGGACCAGGCCUGCAACACUGGAACUCCUGGUGGACAAAACGCAUCACAACUACACCAAUUACCAAAAGUAUGAAGCGGAAAGAGACCCCUGGGACAGAUGAUAAUGCCACCGCAGGGAGCAGGGGAAGAGGAGCAUGCUGGGAGGACAAUUCCCUAAGGAAUGACGGACCAACAAGAUGAAAAGUAGCAGGAUCCUGGAAGGACUGGAACAGCUGCCAACUGGACUCUCAUCACAGACUUGGCGAAAGACUUGGGAAUUAUCCGUCCUCUGUUGGAGGAGGAGCUCUCUGCCCAAGCAUCCUAAACCUUCACCCUCUAUAAUAGGCCAUUCAUUUAAGGUGCACAAUGACCCAGAGAGUUGGCUACUAUUAUUAUUCCUGUUUCACAUGUAAGGUUACUGAGGCUCAGAGAAGGCUGAAUAAUUUGCCCAAAUCUAUCGCUGAACCGCCCUAAAUGGACCCAAUCUUACAAGCUUGCUUGGUGCUUGGAUGGGAGGCUGCUUAUCACUGCCAGAAGCCCGAGGCUUUACAAUAAUAAUAAAUUCACCCACAAUUCCCAAACCAUGUGGUGCAAACAACAUCAGAAGCCAGAUUCCUUCAGCUCUAAAGAACACACACAAGUUCUGACUCACAAGUUCCAGGGCUGAGGCUGAGAAUCUGCAUUUGUAUAAAGCUCCUCUGUUACAGUUUGGAUUAAAAAUAAAAUGU